rnacentral:rRNA from 1 species
AAACUUUCAACAAAGGAUCUCUUGGCUCUCGCAUCGAUGAAGAACGCAGCGAAGCGCGAAAUGUAGUGUGAAUCGCAGAACAUUGUGAAUCAUCGAAUCUUCGAACGCACAUUGCGCCUCCUGUAACAGGGAGGCAUGCCUGUCUGAGUCUCAUUU